GAUGCAGACAUCGUGGAGGCAACACGUAAGUGCAGCCAGUGCCCUGCUGCCUUCCUGAACAUGACGGCGUGCAGCGCUCGGUCGCCAAAGGAGUGGUUUUCCUGAGGUUUCGUUGACCAUGUUUGGACACGGCUGUGAUUAAUAUUUCCUAACAGGAAGACGUCAUGCGUGCAGGCUUUCCUCUUCGGGGUUCGGGUCGCGGCUGACCAAGUUCAGGUUGUACGCCGGCUCCGCGCUUCCUCCGGCUCGCAGGCUACACCCGGCGGCUCCGUCUCGGACCCCAGCGGCUGCGGUCGCCCAUCGCCGAGCCCGACGCGGGUCCUGGCGCCGAGGUGGUGUCACCACGCCAUCCCUGGGGACCCGGAGAGCUUUCGUACCUACCAGGGCACCACAAUACGACGCUCUCCUAAAUGCACCCUCGUAGCUGGGGAGAGCUGCAGAACAUGACCUACGCGCUGAGGAGUGCCGACAGGACUGUUUGAUUCCCAGCAAAUGUGCAAAAAUCAUCAACCCGAGUGAAAAAAAAUAAAAAAAAAAAAGAGUGUUAAUUGAAAAUGCAGGCAUGAAGUGGGAAUUGCGACAGUGCCGAGCGGCUUCCACCACCACCAGCGAUGGUUAGCAGCAAGGAAAAUAGGUGUGAGAGGAAAGCAGCGUUAGGCAGACAGCUGUGUCCUCAAUUAACCCACCUAAUUGUUAGCUUGGGUGUCAACGGGAGCCCUCGUGCUGGGAUUUGGGGGUGGGUGAUGCUGAGUGCUCUGCUUUUUGCUCCUUGACAUGUGGUGAAGACGCCUGGUUUAGCGCUGAAACGUCUCGCGUGAUGGGACCGCCGCAACUCCUCUUGCACGGGUACCACAGUAAUUAAAUCUCCAGCUUUCAGGUGUAAUUGCCAAUGACACAGCCUCUGAAAUUGCUUUUUAUGCUCGUGUGUUCGGUCUCAUGACAGAAAGGGCUUCUGGAAAAAUAAAAAGCAGCCGGGGAAGAGUUGUGAGCAGCGGCAAAGGCAAGGAACAGCAAGGCGAGCUCCAUCCUUGGGCACAUUUAGUGACAAUAAGCCAUCUCUAAACACCUAGGGGGGCCGAAAUCACACUCCUGGAUUCCUCACGGGCCCUGAAGGAAAUGGUAGCUUACAGCACGGCUUCUGCAUUCCCGGGCGAGUUGGAAAAUGGUUUCCCCGUGCAGAAGCUGGCACCCUGACACGCUGCGUUCAUCUCCGAGGGAUUCCUGCUGGAGGGAUUCUGCAUGGGCUGCAGCAAAGCCUUGCUGCCCGUGUCCCCACGUGUCCUGCCUCCAGCUGCCACCCAGCCAGCAGCAGCAGCCCCGUUAGGUCUCCUGCGUCACCAGCAACCGUGCCAUGAAACGCUGCGCCGCGUCCCAAAACCGCCUUACCCCACACGGAUUAGCCAAGCAGAUGGGUUGCAGCACUGGGCGGUUGCAAAAGAGAAAUUUUGCUUUUCUGGGACGCUGGCCAUCGGAAGAAUGUAUUUCUGCUGAAGGCUGCAGCGCUAACGGUCCGGAAGGACAAAGGCAGCACCCGGUUAACUGUGCAAAGGUAGUAGGGACCUGGGCAGCCCCACAAAGUGCCCCUUCUGUGGUGUAACAAGGGGGCUUUGGGGUAUAUCUGAAGGUUAUUUUCCCUAUUCAUCCUAUAGGACAGGGAUAAAACAGAGGAGCUGCAUCUGCCCCCUCGCUUAAAGCUUUUCCCAGAGAGUAAAAAUGAAAAUGGAAGAUGUGUAUAUCCGUAUAAACACGCUUCCAGAUACACUUAAUAACAUAAUGUGUUAACGUUACGGGUGGCAACAUCUCUGGGUGGGAGAAGCUUCCAUAAAGCAACGGGAUAAAGGACUGACAGCCCUCAGCAGGAGGCAGAGAGGGAGACGGACACGGUCCUGCUGGGACCAAAGUGCCCACCACCUCCCAGCAGAUGAGCAGCUGGGCUGGGUCCAGCUUAAACACAACCAGGCCACUUUUCAGAGAGGAUUCAGCAGGGCCAAUAACCCCGGGUCCUUCUGGUUUGCAUUCUGGGUUUCAAGCCCCUAAGCACUCGCACACGUGAGCUUUCCACCCCGACCGUGGCAGCUGCAAAAAUGAGUUCUCUGCUCCAAAGGAGAGCCGAGAUUCCCAUGUAAUGACCUGACCCCAGGAGACAGACUUCUAAAAAGUACCAAAAAAAUGUGGCAGACCCGCUGCAUCGGGCAUAUGCACCUGCGUGUCCAGACACCGGAUUUAGAGCAAGGCUUUGGCGAGCCAGCAGUUGCUACACGCAGUCUGGAGGGCAAUGAAAAGAGGAGGCUUUUUGGUUCAAGAGCCAUCAUUUAUUUUCAUUUGGAAAUCAAUCUACUCGGGACAACAGGAAGAAAAAGACAAGAAGAGACUCCAAGUAAAGAAGGUUGAGUUGCAUCCCAGAAGAAAAUGUUGUGGGAGGCCUGAAGCAGCUUUUGGGGACUGAACUGCUCCCCACACGUGGGAUUUUUUUGUUCAUCCGUUGACUUGAUGAAUCCCUUCCCCGCCAGGCUCUGCCCAUGGUCGAGGUUGUGUCACACACGCCGCAGAGCAUCGCAGCCUCACCUCCGCAGAAAGACACUGCAGGGGAGAAAUAGUUCCUGAAGUCAAGCAUUGUAAUUUACUAACAGGUUUAUUAAAAUCUUAUUAGAAGAUUAUUUUUUAAAGUCCAUUUUACACAGCCGUUGCCCUUCUGCUGCUGUCUAAUCCUGGAAAAUCUCGGUGAAUGAGUCAUUUGCACUUACUAUCUAUUACACCCUCUUAUUAUAAGCCUGAGCGUGUUUGCAGAGGCUCUUUAUGCACAUCUUUUGGGUUUGGCAGGUCAAAGAUGUGUUGCUGAGGGUCAAGUAUUUGAAAAGGACAUUCCUGCUUCCUAAAACAACCUCAAGCACCAACUACUGUCCAUGCAAGCCAUGAGAAGGAAGACAUCUGGCAGUAGUGCAUCAGGGAUAGUUGAGGGCCACCUUAUUUGUUUGCUUGUUUUUGCUGUAUGAAGGCUGAUGAGCAUUAAAUGCAGCUCGGAGGGCUGAGAUCUUUGCACCUCUGCCUUGUUUGGUUCAGGACGUUUUGUUCCUGAAAAAAAGAGUGAAGGAGAACCUGAUACAAGGACAUCAAUGAGGCAAACGCUGCCUCAGCCCAUUCUCCUCCUCCUCUUCGCCACCCCAGGUGGGUUACAAGGGACAGGAACACAAAAAGCUGCCCCGUCUCUGGAUGAGCUCUGCCUGGGCACACAAACUCUGUGCUCCCAAUGUCCUGGAGCAGCCCCUUCUCAGGGAGGGCUGGCCCAGAGACAAGGGGAGAGUUUUUGCUCUGAAUGCAACUGCGGGAGAAGAAAGAAAAAAUGCACAUUCAAGGUUUAACAUCGCACUUGCUGCAGGGACUGUUUCCAUUGGCAGAGUCGCCAGAACCGGCACAAAUGAUUCAAAACAUUUUGUUAAAUGAAAUUCUCAGAUGAUGUCAGAGCUGAGGCUGCUUUAGCAAAACCUUUACAAAGAAGGGAGGUCGAAACCAAAAAAAAAAAAAAAAAAAAAAAAAAAAAAA